UUUAGUCCCUCCUUCCCCGCGAGGAUUUCAAAUGAUGCAGAAAGAGAAGAACUGUUAAACAGCUGGAUUUCAGCAUAGUAAAUGGCAUUUAUUCAUACUUUUUGAAGGGGUAACUGUGAUUGGUUUAUUAGGGGUUUAUGUUGCCUCUUUAUCAGAUUUUAGUUUGGAAGCCAGAGUUCCCCUUUAACAAGUAAAAUGAUCUUCUACACUUAGAUGUUUAUGGUUCCCUUCUCUAUAAGGAAGCCGUAAUAUUGUAAAAUAACAUGUUCUACUGAAUAUGGUUGAGAAAGCAUUGGUUAUGCCAGAGGCAGGCUGCUGUGGAUUGUAUUCCUAUGGGAACCAAAGAGGAACCUGAAGUUUGGAAUAAUCUAGUUAUUGAUACUGUAACCCCUUGUUUUACUUGCGGUUUGGAGGGGUUAAUGUUGCAGGACACUAGCAUGUGUGUUUUUAUGAAUGUGCGAGUCAAGAUGGCACCCUUCAACUUUGAGUUUAUGCUGUAAACAUGCCAAACAUUAAAAUCCUAAUAAAUGCCUCUAUCCUUAGUCAAAACACUCCAUUAAAGUUAAAAUUUCAUUUGUGUAAAGGUACCAGAAGCCAACGCAGUGAAGAAGUCAAGAACGCGAGACCUCAGCUGAUGAAGGCAGUGUGCUUGUUUUGUUAACACUCAUUUUUCCCUUUUUUUCCUGGAUGUCUCCGCUGUGUGACGGUCCAGCUGCUUGUCUCAGGGGACAGUGUUGGAAUGAUCAGAUAGCGAUGAUUUGGGGGUAAAAAGUUAAUAUUUAUGUAUUAUAAACAACUAAAUUAUUUGCCUAAUUUAAAGAAACACUGAUCGUUCACUAUUUUUAACUGGAUAACGCCUCGGCAGAUCCCCAGUCUGUCUCGUCUGUCUGCGUUUCGGUUCCAAUACAUUCAGACAGAGUGACAUUUGGACAGAUGAAAUGCCGUUUACUACAAACUCUCUGCAUGCUGUAAAUGUAUUUGUGUUUAAAAUAAAAAUGUCAAAAUCAA